rnacentral:rRNA from 1 species
CCUACGGGAUGCAGCAGUGAGGAAUAUUGGUCAAUGGACGAGAGUCUGAACCAGCCAAGUAGCGUGAAGGAUGACUGCCCUAUGGGUUGUAAACUUCUUUUAUAAAGGAAUAAAACGAGGCACGUGUGCCUUUUUGCAUGUACUUUAUGAAUAAGGAUCGGCUAACUCCGUGCCAGCAGCCGCGGUAAUACGGAGGAUCCGAGCGUUAGCCGGAUUUAUUGGGUUUAAAGGGAGCGUAGAUGGGUUGUUAAGUCAGUUGUUAAAGUUUGCGGCUCAACCGUAAAAUUGCAAUUGAUACUGGCAGUCUUGAGUACAGUUGAGGUAGGCGGAAUUCGUGGUGUAGCGGUGAAAUGCUUAGAUAUCACGAAGAACCCCGAUUGCGAAGGCAGCUUACUAAACUGUGACUGACAUUGAUGCUCGAAAGUGUGGGUAUCAAACAGGAUUAGAUACCCCUGUAGUC